rnacentral:sRNA from 3 species
CUGUACCACGCGUGCACUCCGAUCGUCAGUGCGACAGCUGCACCUACCUGACGGAUGCUCGCGAGGUUUGUUAGCC